rnacentral:tRNA from 1 species
UCCCUGAUAGCUCAGCUGGUAAAGAAUCUGCCUGCAAUGCAGGAGACCUGGGUUCAGACCCCGGUUGUGAAG